rnacentral:tRNA from 1 species
UAAACAUAGAAGUAAAUUUUUUACAAUUAGUUUCGACCUAAAUUUAAGGUUAUUCCUCAUGUUUA